UUUUUUAAGACUUAAUGUCAACAUCUUUGACAAGUCUUCUAUUUUUAGGGAUUAAUGUCAUUUUCUGACGUGUCUAAAAACC
rnacentral:pre_miRNA from 1 species